rnacentral:rRNA from 1 species
UGAGUAACGCGUAGAUAACCUGUCUUCAUGUCUGGAAUAAUACGCCGAAAGGGGUACUAAUACCGGAUAUUCUUUGCUUUUCAUAAGUUAUGCAAGCAAAGGUGGCCUCUGCAUAUGCUACUGCAUGAAGAGGGGUCUGCGUACCAUUAGCUAGUAGGUGGGGUAAUGGCCUACCUAGGCGACGAUGGUUAGCGGGUCUGAGAGGAUGAUCCGCCACACUGGCACUGGAACACGGGCCAGACUCCUACGGGAGGCAGCAGUGAGGAAUAUUGCGCAAUGGGGGAAACCCUGACGCAGCGACGCCGCGUGAGUGAAGGAAGGCCUUCGGGUCGUAAAGCUCUGUCAAGAGGAAAGAAGUGUACAAUGGCUAAUACCUGUUGUAUUUGACGGUACCUCUAAAGGAAGCACCGGCUAACUCCGUGCCAGCAGCCGC